rnacentral:rRNA from 1 species
AUUGAACGCUGGCGGCAUGCCUUACACAUGCAAGUCGAACGGUAACGGGCCUUCGGGUGCCGACGAGUGGCGAACGGGUGAGUAAUACAUCGGAACGUGCCCGAUCGUGGGGGAUAACGAGGCGAAAGCUUUGCUAAUACCGCAUACGAUCUACGGAUGAAAGCAGGGGACCGCAAGGCCUUGCGCGGACGGAGCGGCCGAUGGCAGAUUAGGUAGUUGGUGGGAUAAAAGCUUACCAAGCCGACGAUCUGUAGCUGGUCUGAGAGGAUGAUCAGCCACACUGGGACUGAGACACGGCCCAGACUCCUACGGGAGGCAGCAGUGGGGAAUUUUGGAGAAUGGGCGCAAGCCUGAUCCAGCCAUGCCGCGUGCAGGAUGAAGGCCUUCGGGUUGUAAACUGCUUUUGUACGGAACGAAAAGCCUUCUUUUAAUACAGGAGGGUCAUGACGGUACCGUAAGAAUAAGCACCGGCUAACUACGUG